AUAAUAAAAAACAAACAAAAUAUAAAAAAGGAUGGUCAUUUAAAUUUUAAUUAAUUUGUUAUUUUGCAAAAAGCAGAAAGCAAUUUGCAAAAAUGUAAGUGUGGUAGAGAUUUGAAAGGAUCGAAAGGAUCGAAAGGAUCGAUUUAUGCCAUCUAGUGUGAAGAUCCAAGUAUGAGAUCAUCCUAAGAAAGAUCUAUUUAGAAGAAAACGUUAAUAUCGCGUUUAUUUACUGCGACGAUAAUAUCCAAGUUGAAGUACUAAUAUCCAAGUUUAUCUCUAUCGAGCGAACUUACUUAUUAGUCGUGCACGUGAUGAUACUUGAGAAUUCACAUUUCCUUAUCGCUCUCGCUCUCAGCAAUUCUUCCCUUCGUCACGAGAUUAUUCUUUCUAGGCCUAAACUUAUAUCUUCUUUGCAAAAGAAACGUAGAAAAGAUCGAGGAAAAAAAUAAUAAAACUAGUACUCUCUCAUGAAAGAAACUAAAGUAAAGAGAAAGGUUGAUUGCUAAAAGAAAGAAAGAAAAAAAAAAAAGAAGAAAAAAAGAAAAAGAAAAGGAAGGGGAGGAAAGGUCGGUUACAGGGACCCAUCAAAAGUUUUGUCAGUCAGAACGAGGGAUGCUACAAUUUCCAAUAGCAGUUACACGCCAGUAGUUGCUACAAGUAACGCGAGGGGAGAAUGAAAAUGUAUCUGGAAAAGAGCUACGAAGAUAUGCAAAGUUGAGAGCCUUUAAUAAGCAGACAUGACUACUAUUAACGAGACUCAAGGAAAUCGAUGAAGUUCAUAAAAAGAGAAAAGAAACUUGCACGUAACAUAUUUUUAACAUUUAAUUGAUAGAAAAUGUAUUUUUGAGAGCGUUGCCGUAAUCAUCGUCAUAAUCGCCGUCAUAGUCGUCGUCAUAGUCGUCGUACAAUGACCGGAGCGGAGCCAAAGUUCAAUGACUGGCACAGAAAGGAACGCUGCUUGCCAUCACUCUUUCUCUCUUAUUCGGUUCAGAGAGAGAGAGAGAGAGAGAGAGAGAAAGAGAGAUGGUGUACCUUACACUGUGUUAGCAUUCUGUCGCUUUAUAGAAAUAUCUAAUUAUUACCAUCCUACAAAAUAAUGAGAUACGCUUGAUCACUUUUAUAUCGAAUGGAGGAGUCAUCCUUUACUACGUUGUUAUAUAUAAAUAAAAGGAAAGAAAAAAUGAU